GAAGCACAGGGAUCGAGAUGACCUACAGAGUGAGUCUCAAUCCAGAAUAAAGAAAGGAAUGAAAGAACAAAAGAAGAUAAGCCCAAAUACUGGAGCAAACAAAGUGCAGAUCGCUCAAAAUCUGAUUGAAGUUACGAGCUCCGCCAAUCCCGCUUCACUCAUGUACAUGUCCUGAAUCUCAAACCAUGUAGCUGUCCAUUUGAAAAAUGAAAUGAAAAAAUGGAGAUAUAACUUCAUUGAAAGCUUUAGUUCUUGCCGUAUUUUAUCAUAAUGGAUUGUAGUGGUUUGGAAUGUGAUUAAAAUUGUUUUACAACGAUUUAGAUUGGUUCGGACUGUCAAACUCAUGGACUGUUCGGGACAUUUGAUAGUUUGUUAAGACAUGUGGUAAUUUAAUUUCAUUUAGUGUAGUUAAGCUUUAAAAAUCAGAAGUUAUUCAAAACAUAAAGCGAUCUUGUGAUUCA